UUGAACGCUGGCGGCAUGCCUAACACAUGCAAGUCGAACGGCAGCGCGGGCUUCGGCCUGGCGGCGAGUGGCGGACGGGUGAGGAAUACAUAGGAAUCUGCCCAGUCGUGGGGGAUAACCCGGGGAAACCCGGACUAAUACCGCAUACGACGGUGACGUGAAAGCCGGGGACCUUCGGGCCUGGCGCGAUUGGAUGAGCCUAUGUCGGAUUAGCUAGUUGGCGGGGUAAAGGCCCACCAAGGCGACGAUCCGUAGCUGGUCUGAGAGGAUGAUCAGCCACACUGGGACUGAGACACGGCCCAGACUCCUACGGGAGGCAGCAGUGGGGAAUAUUGGACAAUGGGCGCAAGCCUGAUCCAGCAAUGCCGCGUGGGUGAAGAAGGCCUUCGGGUUGUAAGGCCCUUUUGUACGGGAAGAAAUCAUCCGGGUUAAUACCCUGGGUGGAUGACGGUACCGUAAGAAUAAGCACCGGCUAACUUCGUGC
rnacentral:rRNA from 1 species